GAUGAACGCUGGCGGCAUGCCUAAGACAUGCAAGUCGAACGAGACGGCCCAUUGACCAUUUGAGUGCUUGCACAAUUAUGUGAUUUGGAUUUUCCGUCUAGUGGCAAACGGGUGAGUAACACGUGGGUUACCUACCUCUAAGUUGGGGAUAACAGUUGGAAACGACUGCUAAUACCGAAUGUGCUCUACGGAGUAAAGAAGCCUUUAAAGCUUCGCUUGGAGAUGGGCCUGCGGUGCAUUAGAUAGUUGGUGGGGUAAUGGCCUACCAAGUCGACGAUGCAUAGGGGGACUGAGAGGUUAACCCCCCACACUGGGACUGAGACACGGCCCAGACUCCUACGGGAGACAGCAGUUAGGAAUAUUCGUCAAUGGGGGAAACCCUGAACGAGCAAUGCCGCGUGAACGAUGACAGCCCUCUGGGUUGUAAAGUUCUUUUAUUUGGAAAGAAUACUAAGAGUAGGAAAUGACUCUUAGCUGACGGUACCAUUUGAAUAAGGACCGGCUAACUACGUGCCAGCCGCCGCCGUAAAAC
rnacentral:rRNA from 1 species